ACCUGUAGGCUGGUGUGGGCACUGCCUAGAGGUUGCUGUGGCGCCGUCUGGAGGUUGCCGUGGCGCUCGUUGGCGCCCAGCGCCCCGCCCGGGGCUUCAUGGCUGUGUCGCUGCUGCCCCCUCCCAGGGCCGCAGGGCCCGGGUUCCACUUGGCGGCAUCUUCUCGCGAGUCGCUUUCGCUGCUCCGAGAAGUCGGCGGUGCAGCAACUGACGCCGCUGCUGCUCCGGUCGCCGCAGGUCGCCAUAUUCCUCGCGGGGGCCGGCCGGGCUCUCGACUCAGGCCGCCCACCCUGCUCCGGCCGCCGCCGCCUCUCCUUUCCCGCAGCCAGAGGAGGCGAGGGAGCGACCUCCAGGCACUGGGCGCCCGCCGCUUCCCCAGCAGCCGGCGGGGCGGGGAAGAAAGACGCCAGGAAGCGGAAGGCCCCCGCCGGCCCGAGGGUCGCCCGGGGCUGUGCCCCAUGGUUCCUGCCCGCGAGCAGCUGCUGGGACCCCCCCUUGCCAAGUUGCUCCCCGAAAAGCUCUAAGGUUCUCAGGCCUGCGGGGAGUGACAGUUUCCCCCUGACUGUAACGUUUCAGGCACAGAACUGUAUAUCCAAUAAUGGUGAAAUGGAUCCCACUAAUUAUGACAGAAAUGAUGAUACAUUUAAAUGACUUGGAUGUUUUAUAGGUUGGCAAUCAUCAUGAGCCUCUGUUCUCAUUCUGCAAAUGGUGAAGCUCUCUAUUGUCCUGACCCCACAGUUCCUGUCCCAUGACCAGGGCCAGCUCACCAAGGAGCUGCAGCAGCACGUAAAGUCAGUGACAUGCCCAUGCGAGUACCUGAGGAAGGUGAGUGAGUGCAGACAGAUGGGGCCUGGUGCCCUUGAGCAGUUCCCGGGUCUCAGCUGCCACACAUCUCAUAGCGGGUGAUGCUGGGGGAAGCUUACGCAGUCACAGUACUGGCUUCUUCCUCUUUUUCUUUCCAUACAAGUGGCUUAGGGGUGGGGUAGAGUAGUUGACUUAUUUGGAUGAAAACCACUAUCUUCUGUCAGAAACUCAAAAGGAAUCAUUGCUGGCAUGGUAACCUAAAGAAAAACAA